rnacentral:rRNA from 1 species
UAAUACGGAGGGUCCAAGCGUUAAUCGGAAUUACUGGGCGUAAAGCGUGCGCAGGCGGUUUGUUAAGCGAGAUGUGAAAGCCCCGGGCUCAACCUGGGAAUUGCAUUUCGAACUGGCAAACUAGAGUCUUGUAGAGGGGGGUAGAAUUCCAGGUGUAGCGGUGAAAUGCGUAGAGAUCUGGAGGAAUACCGGUGGCGAAGGCGGCCCCCUGGACAAAGACUGACGCUCAGGCACGAAAGCGUGGGGAGCAAACAGGAUUAGAUACC